rnacentral:rRNA from 1 species
GACGAACGCUGGCGGCGUGCUUAACACAUGCAAGUCGAACGGAAAGGCCCUGCUUUUGUUGGUUGCUCGAGUGGCGAACGGGUGAGUAACACGUGAGUAACCUGCCCUUGACUUUGGGAUAACUUCAGGAAACUGGGGCUAUUACAGGAUAGGAGCUCCUGCUGCAUGGUGUGGGUUGGAAAGUUUCGGCGGUUGGGGCUGGACUCGCGGCUUAUCAGCUUGUUUGUGGGGUAGUGGCUGACCAAGGCUUUGACGGGUAGCCGGCCUGAGAGGGUGACCGGCCACAUUGGGACUGAGAUACGGACCAGUCUCCAACGGGAGGCAGCAGUCGAGAAUAUUGCACAGUGGGGGGAAGCCUGAUGCGACAACGCCGCGUGCGUGAUGACGGCCUUCGGGUUGUAAACCGCUUUCGCCUGUGACGAAGCGUGAGUGACGGUAAUGGGUAAAGAAGCACCGGCUAACUACGUG